AUGCAAGCCGAGCGGGGGAAGGUAGCUUGCUACUGGACCUAGCGGCGGACGGGUGAGUAAUGCUUAGGAAUCUGCCUAUUAGUGGGGGACAACAUCUCGAAAGGGAUGCUAAUACCGCAUACGUCCUACGGGAGAAAGCAGGGGAUCUUCGGACCUUGCGCUAAUAGAUGAGCCUAAGUCGGAUUAGCUAGUUGGUGGGGUAAAGGCCUACCAAGGCGACGAUCUGUAGCGGGUCUGAGAGGAUGAUCCGCCACACUGGGACUGAGACACGGCCCAGACUCCUACGGGAGGCAGCAGUGGGGAAUAUUGGACAAUGGGGGGAACCCUGAUCCAGCCAUGCCGCGUGUGUGAAGAAGGCCUUAUGGUUGUAAAGCACUUUAAGCGAGGAGGAGGCUACUUUAGUUAAUACCUAGAGAUAGUGGACGUUACUCGCAGAAUAAGCACCGGCUAACUCUGUGCCAGCAGCCGCGGUAAUACAGAGGGUGCGAGCGUUAAUCGGAUUUACUGGGCGUAAAGCGUGCGUAGGCGGCUUAUUAAGUCGGAUGUGAAAUCCCCGAGCUUAACUUGG
rnacentral:rRNA from 1 species